rnacentral:tRNA from 1 species
UUCUCGGUGGCUCAGAUGGAUAGAGCGUCUGCCAUGUAAGCAGGAGAGCCCGGGUUCGAGUCCCGGUCGGGUAA